UGGUUACAUAAAGACCAUCUUAAUCAGAGGAAUUUUUGACUAGGAAUUUUUUCUUUUAUCCAGAGCUUAUUUGGAAUACUUCUUGUUUGAAAUCUGACUAUUCUAGAUCAGUGCUAGCCUAAAUGUUUUAUUUUGGUGACCUCAGUUAAAUGUCUGGAAAUCUGUACUGUCUGAUAGCGCUUGGGUGAAAUAAAGUUCUUGGCAUUAUUUCUUAGAGGACAGGUGCUGGGUACACAACAGUUCCAUAUCAUUGGUCAGCUUUGGUCCUCCCUUUUCUCAAGCCUCCUUGAGAAACUGGGUUUAACUGGGUUGGAAAAAGCUGGGUGUCCUGCCUAACUGGGUUGGUAAAGACUGGUGUCCUGUCUCCUGCAUUGCCUUCAUGGCACAUAUGGACACAUUUGCUGCUCUAGAAAUUUGAGGGAUAAGACAUCCAGGGAUAGACUACUGGUGUAAUGUCCACUUUGAAAAAUUAAGAAAGACUAGGGUCAAAGGGGGAAAGCAAACAAAACCUGUAAAUAUAUUUUUAAGUAGAUUAUACCAUUUCCCAU
rnacentral:lncRNA from 1 species